UCUCAGGCUGUGACCCUCUAGAGGGAAGCGCUUUCUGUGGUCUGAAAGAAAAGAAAGUGCUUCCUUUUAGAGGGUUACCGUUUG
ensembl:miRNA